UCUGACCUGUAACCCCUGACCCGUAUGUACGUUUACAGCCAUUUUGUUUGGUUUCUUUCGUCACCUUCGAAUUCUCCAAAGUGACACGAUUUUUACGGACAUUCAUACGUCGUGGGCACCGCUAACCACCAUAGAUCUACAGGCGACUGCAAGCCUUCUCCAGUUCCGCCUAUCGGCAGCGAGCUGGCGAAUCUGCCUGGGGGUGAUCUGGCCGUGAUGGUCUCCUAUUAGCCGUUGGACGACUAGUUGAAACACAGCAUAGGGGCCCAAAUCACAGCUACGUUGUUCUGAAGUUGUGCACUUUUAACAGAUACUGGCUCCAGGACCAGGACCACAGCAUACUGAAUGAGAUGGCAGACUUCACAUGUGUGCCUCCCAUCGAAGAGCUUCAUGUGCAACAAACUGUGAACACAAUGCACAUCAAAGAGGAGCCGACAGGAGACACUGGAUGGCAACAGGAUGGACAAGAGCAGGAAAUGUACAGUGAGGACCAGGAAACAUACGACUACUUUGGCUCCACCCAACGAAUGGCACAUCCUACAAAAAAGAGUUACAACAAUUUGGAGGAUACAAACAACUACUUUACAAUCCUACCAAGUGGACAUCGUUUGUACAAGACUUAUAAAAUACUAAAGCAGACAACCGAAAUUGAACAGCAACUGAACAAGGAAAAAGAUGUUCCAAAUGACUCCAUUCAAGGAACCGCACAUCCUACAAAACAGAGUUACAACAGUUUGGAGGAUACAAACGACUACUUCACAGUCCUACCAAGUGGACAUCGUUUGUACAAGACUUACAAAAUAUUGAAGCAGACAACCAACGCUGGACUUAA